rnacentral:rRNA from 1 species
AAUGAAACGCUAGCGACCAGGCCAACUACCAUGCAAGUCGAGGGGCAGCACAUGAGUAGCAAUACGAUGGUGGCGACCGCGACGGGUGAGUAACACGUAUGCAACCUGCCUGUAAGAGGGGGAUAACCCGGAGAAAUUCGGACUAAUACCGCAUAAUACCACGAGACUGCAUGGUUUUGUGGUUAAACAUUUAUGGCUUACAGAUGGGCAUGCGUAUGAUUAGAUAGUUGGUAGGGUAACGGCCUACCAAGUCUACGAUCAUUAGGGGUUCUGAGAGGAAAGGUCCCCCACACUGGUACUGAGACACGGACCAGACUCCUACGGGAGGCAGCAGUGAGGAAUAUUGGUCAAUGGGCGAGAGCCUGAACCAGCCAAGUCGCGUGAAGGAAGAAGGUUCUAUGGAUUGUAAACUUCUUUUGCAGGGGAAUAAAGGACGGUACGUGUACUGUUUUGUAUGUACCUUGCGAAUAAGGAUCGGCUAACUCCGUG